rnacentral:rRNA from 1 species
AGGGCGAAAGCUGAUGCAGCGACGCCGCGUGAGGGAUGACGGCCUUCGGGUUGUAAACCUCUUUCAGUAGGGAAGAAGCCCUUCGGGGUGACGGUACUUGCAGAAGAAGCGCCGGCUAACUACGUGCCAGCAGCCGCGGUAAUACGUAGGGCGCAAGCGUUAUCCGGAAUUAUUGGGCGUAAAGAGCUCGUAGGCGGUUUGUCGCGUCUGCUGUGAAAGACCGGGGCUCAACUCCGGUUCUGCAGUGGGUACGGGCAGACUAGAGUGCAGUAGGGGAGACUGGAAUUCCUGGUGUAGCGGUGAAAUGCGCAGAUAUCAGGAGGAACACCGAUGGCGAAGGCAGGUCUCUGGGCUGUAACUGACGCUGAGGAGCGAAAGCAUGGGGAGCGAACAGGAUUAGAUACCCUGGUAGUCCAUGCCGUAAACGUUGGGCACUAGGUGUGGGGGACAUNNCCACGUUUUCCGCGCCGUAGCUAACGCAUUAAGUGCCCCGCCUGGGGAGUACGGCCGCAAGNNUAAAACUCAAAGGANUUGACNGGGGGCCCGCACAAGCNGGCGGAGCAUGCGGAUUAAUUCGAUGCAACGCGA